rnacentral:rRNA from 1 species
AACGAACGCUGGCGGCAUGCCUAACACAUGCAAGUCGAACGAGACCUUCGGGUCUAGUGGCGCACGUGUGCGUAACGCGUGGGAACCUGCCCUUAGGUUCUGAAUAACUCCCCGAAAGGGGUUCUAAUACCGGAUAAUGUCUUCGGACCAAAGAUUUAUCGCCUUUGGAUGGGCCCGCGUUGGAUUAGCUAGUUGGUAGGGUAAAAGCCUACCAAGGCGACGAUCCAUAGCUGGUCUGAGAGGAUGAUCAGCCACACUGGGACUGAGACACGGCCCAGACUCCUACGGGAGGCAGCAGUGGGGACUAUUGGACAAUGGGAGACAGCCUGAUCCAGCAAUGCCGCGUGAGUGAUGAAGGCCUUAGGGUUGUAAAGCUCUUUUACCCGGGAUGAUAAUGACAGUACCGGGAGAAUAAGCUCCGGCUAACUCCGUG